rnacentral:rRNA from 1 species
AGAGUUUGAUCAUGGCUCAGAGUGAACGCUGGCGGCGUGCUCAACACAUGCAAGUCGAACGAGAACGGAUUUUAGCUUGCUAAAAUUGUCAGCUAAGUGGCGCACGGGUGAGUAAUAUAUAGGUAACGUGCCCCAAAGAAGAGGAUAACAUCUGGAAACGGUUGCUAAUACUCUAUAUGCCUUUAAGUCAUAAGACUGCAAGGGAAAUAUUUAUAGCUUUGGGAUCGGCCUGUACGGUAUCAGCUAGUUGGUGAGGUAAUGGCUCACCAAGGCAAUGACACCUAACUGGUUUGAGAGGAUGAUCAGUCACACUGGAACUGAGACACGGUCCAGACUCCUACGGGAGGCAGCAGUGGGGAAUAUUGCACAAUGGACGAAAGUCUGAUGCAGCAACGCCGCGUGGAGGAUGACACAUUUCGGUGCGUAAACUC